GAUGAACGCUGGCGGCGUGCCUAAUACAUGCAAGUCGAGCGAACGGACGAGAAGCUUGCUUCUCUGAUGUUAGCGGCGGACGGGUGAGUAACACGUGGAUAACCUACCUAUAAGACUGGGAUAACUUCGGGAAACCGGAGCUAAUACCGGAUAAUAUUUUGAACCGCAUGGUUCAAAAGUGAAAGACGGUCUUGCUGUCACUUAUAGAUGGAUCCGCGCUGCAUUAGCUAGUUGGUAAGGUAACGGCUUACCAAGGCAACGAUGCAUAGCCGACCUGAGAGGGUGAUCGGCCACACUGGAACUGAGACCCGGUCCAGCCCCCUACGGGGGGCAGAAGUAGGGAAUCUUCCGCAAUGGGCGAAAGCCUGACGGAGCAACGCCGCGGGAGUGAUGAAGGUCUUCGGAUCGUAAACCUCUGUUAUUAGGGAAAAACAAAUGUGUAAGUAACUGUGCACAUCUGGACGGUACCUAAUCAGAAAGCCCCGGCUAACUACGG
rnacentral:rRNA from 1 species